rnacentral:rRNA from 1 species
AGUGAACGCUGGCGGUAGGCCUAACACAUGCCAGUCGAACGGCAGCACAGUAAGAGCUUGCUCUUACGGGUGGCGAGUGGCGGACGGGUGAGGAAUACAUCGGAAUCUACUUUUUCGUGGGGGAUAACGUAGGGAAACUUACGCUAAUACCGCAUACGACCUACGGGUGAAAGCAGGGGAUCUUCGGACCUUGCGCGAUUGAAUGAGCCGAUGUCGGAUUAGCUAGUUGGCGGGGUAAAGGCCCACCAAGGCGACGAUCCGUAGCUGGUCUGAGAGGAUGAUUAGCCACACUGGAACUGAGACACGGUCCAGACUCCUACGGGAGGCAGCAGUGGGGAAUAUUGGACAAUGGGCGAAAGCCUGAUCCAGCAAUACCGCGUGGGUGAAGAAGGCCUUCGGGUUGUAAAGCCAUUUUGUUGGGAAAGAAAAGCAGCAGGUUAAUACCCCGCUGUUCUGACGGUACCCAAAGAAUAAGCACCGGCUAACUUCGUG